UACGUAGGGUCCGAGCGUUGUCCGGAAUUAUUGGGCGUAAAGGGCUCGUAGGCGGUCUGUUGCGUCGGGAGUGAAAACUUACAGCUUAACUGUGAGCGUGCUUUCGAUACGGGCAGACUUGAGGCAUUCAGGGGAGAACGGAAUUCCUGGUGUAGCGGUGAAAUGCGUAGAGAUCCGGAGGAACACCAGUGGCGAAGGCGACACGCUGGGCCGUACCUGACACUGAUGCGCGACAGCAUGGGGAGCAAACAGG
rnacentral:rRNA from 1 species